rnacentral:rRNA from 1 species
UACAGAGGUCUCAAGCGUUGUUCGGAUUCAUUGGGCGUAAAGGGUGCGUAGGUGGCGCUGUAAGUCGGGUGUGAAAUUUCGGAGCUUAACUCCGAAACUGCAUUCGACACUGCGGUGCUUGAGGACUGGAGAGGAGACUGGAAUUCAUGGUGUAGCAGUGAAAUGCGUAGAGAUCAUGAGGAACACCAGUGGCGAAGGCGGCUCACUGGCCCGGUACUGACGCUGAGGUGCGAAAGCGUGGGGAGCAAACAGG